rnacentral:rRNA from 1 species
CACACCGCCCGUCACACCAUGGGAGUUGAUUGCUCCAGAAGUGGCUGAGCUAACCCGCAAGGGAGGCAGGCCCCCAAGGAGUGGUCGGUAACUGGGGUG